GGAGAGGUGGCCGAGUGGUCGAAGGCGCUCCCCUGCUAAGGGAGUAGGCCCGGAAGGGUCUCGAGGGUUCGAAUCCCUUCCUCUCCG
rnacentral:tRNA from 2 species